AUGCUCACUUCGGCAGCACAUAUACUAAAAUUGGAAUGGUAGAGAAGACAGCAUGGCCCCUGAGCAAGGACAACAUGGAAAUUCGUGAAGCGUCCCAUAUUUAA